rnacentral:sRNA from 1 species
CUGCUGAGGGGAAAUAAAGUGAAUGUGGGUGUCAAGCCCUCCGGCCGUGAGGAUCAGCCCCUCGCCGGCCAGAGCCUCUGUGGAGGCGCCCACAGUCAUGCCCGGCGUCACUCCGUCCAUGACGGAGGGGUUGCCUGCCUUGCCGAUGCCCGCGAUCUUUCCGUCCUUAAUUCCGAUAUCAGCUUUAUAAAUGCCGGUGUAAUCCACCACCAGACAGUUGGUGAUCACCAGAUCCAGAUCGCCGUCAGCGCUGGUGGUGGUCACGGACUGGCCCAUGCCGUCCCG